CAGAGUUCGUGCCCUCACGGGUAGAUCUCCCACCCUGUGUUAUUAUACCUUUGUUGCUUUGGCGGGCCGCCCUCGGCUACCGGCCCCGGCUGGUACGCGCCCGCCAGAGGACCCCAAACUCUGAAUAUUAAUGUCGUCUGAGUUACUAUAUAAUAAUAGUUA
rnacentral:misc_RNA from 1 species